AUUGAACGCUGGCGGAAUGCUUUACACAUGCAAGUCGAACGGCAGCACGGACUUCGGUCUGGUGGCGAGUGGCGAACGGGUGAGUAAUGUAUCGGAACGUGCCCAGUCGUGGGGGAUAACGUAGUGAAAAUUACGCUAAUACCGCAUACGAUCUAUGGAUGAAAGCGGGGGAUCGCAAGACCUUGCGCGAUUGGAGGGGCCGAUAUCAGAUGAGGUAGUUGGUGGGGUAAAGGCCCACCAAGCCAACGAUCUGUAGCUGGUCUGAGAGGACGACCAGCCACACUGGAACGGAGACGCGGUCCAGACUCCUACGGGAGGCAGCAGUGGGGAAUUUUGGACAAUGGGCGAAAGCCUGAUCCAGCCAUUCCGCGUGCAGGAUGAAGGCCCUCGGGUUGUAAACUGCUUUUGUACAGAACGAAAAGGUUUCUACUAAUACUAGGAGCUCAUGACGGUACUGUAAGAAUAAGCACCGGCUAACUACGUGCCAGCCGCCGCCGUAA
rnacentral:rRNA from 1 species